UUGAAUAAAUCUGGCGUUGGUUGUAGCUGGCUCUCCGGAGCAUGUGCACACCUCGUCACCUUUAUCUUUCCACCCGUGCACACACUGUAGUCCUGGAUACCUCUCGCUGAAAGGCGGAUGCGGAGGCUGCUGUCUGCUCGCAAGAGCAGGUCGGCUUCCUCUGAAUUUCCAGGUCUAUGCUUUUUACACACCCCAACCGAAUGUGAUAGAAUGUAGUCAUUGGGCCUUUGUGCCUAUAAACCUUAUA
rnacentral:misc_RNA from 1 species